GAACUGAAGAGUUUGAUCAUGGCUCAGAUUGAACGCUGGCGGCAGGCCUAACACAUGCAAGUCGAGCGGUUGACGGGAGCUUGCUCCCUGAUUCAGCGGCGGACGGGUGAGUAAUGCCUAGGAAUCUGCCUAUUAGUGGGGGACAACGUUUCGAAAGGGACGCUAAUACCGCAUACGUCCUACGGGAGAAAGCAGGGGACC
rnacentral:rRNA from 1 species